GAUAAGAAUAGAGAAUGUUAAGAUUAUUGAUCAAUGGGGUGUACGUAAUUAGUUUACUAUAAAAGGUGAUGGUGAAUGAAGACAUUUGGUUACUGCCACACGGAGUAGUAGUAGUUUCUUGCUUUCAUACAAUUCCAGGAGCGAGCUUGCACCUGCGGCCAAGCCGUCCUUCUCUCCCCGCGAGAAAUCACCACCCAGCAAGGAAGCACCAUGAAAUGUUACUUAUCUGUAUCCACGGACAUGGUGACAGCAAAUGCAAUCAGAAACUAUUCCAUUGGUGAAGAGGUAUAUUGAGCCCUGCCUGGCUAACCUCUAGCAAGGUUAUUAGAGAAUUGGGAGAGGCUCAAGUCGGCAUCUUGCAUAUGGUUAUCAAACAUUUAUGAAGUUUUGGCUGGAUUGUGAAGGAUAUCUAUGAAAGGUGUUUUAGAGUCCACCAGAUCUUCUAUGUGAAUGACUAUAAACCAAAAGAGAGGGUCUUCUCAGUGGUAACACAGUGAUUAAAGUGAUUGCAUUUGCAAAUGACUACAGGAUCCAGAUGUGGUAAAUGUGUAAGAUGGUUCUGGUAUUCUUUUCCUUUUUCUUGAAACACUCCCUUUUGGGGAGGGUGAUGGGGAAGUGUGGGGGUGGUGAUUGUAUUUCUUUUGUUUAUCCACCUUUGAUAGAAAUAUUAGAGGAGAGGUUUCUCUAAAGUGGGAUGGUAAAGAGUAACUGACACUUUUACUAGGAGGGCAAUAGGGAGUAUUUGGAAUUGUGGUCAGUUGGAACAUGGACCUUUCAUCCAAAGGGGAAGGCUUUAGUGCUUGCCUCCUGCUGAUUGUUGCCCAGUAGAAAUGUGGGUCUCAGAUUGCCAGGAUUUCCAGCUCUUGUCAAAGAGCCAAAUUGGCUUCAAUGUUUUUUUUGUUUCCCAACCUCCCACCCUCUCUUAUAGCUU